GAGCUUGAUCCUGGCUCAGGACGAACGCUGGCGGCGUGCUUAACACAUGCAAGUCGAACGGUAAGGCUCCAGCUUGCUGGGGUACACGAGUGGCGAACGGGUGAGUAACACGUGGGUGACCUGCCCUGCACUUCGGGAUAAGCCUGGGAAACUGGGUCUAAUACCGGAUAGGACCGCACCGUGAGGGUGUGGUGGAAAGUUUUUUCGGUGUGGGAUGGGCCCGCGGCCUAUCAGCUUGUUGGUGGGGUAAUGGCCUACCAAGGCGGCGACGGGUAGCCGGCCUGAGAGGGUGGACGGCCACAUUGGGACUGAGACACGGCCCAGACUCCUACGGGAGGCAGCAGUGGGGAAUAUUGCACAAUGGGCGGAAGCCUGAUGCAGCGACGCCGCGUGGGGAUGACGGCCUCGG
rnacentral:rRNA from 1 species